UUCCGGUUGAUCCUGCCAGAGGCGACCGCUUUUGGAGUUCGAUUAAGCCAUGCGAGUAGAAAGAAAUUAGAUUCUUUGCAAACUGCUCAGUAACACGUGGAUAACCUGCCCUAUGCUCCGGAAUAACCUCGGGAAACUGAGAAUAAUACCGGAUAGAUCACAACGCCUGGAACGGUGUGUGGUUCAAAGGUCACGGCAUAGGAUGGGUCUGCGGCGUAUCAGGUCGUAGGGGGUGUAACGGACCUCCUAGCCAUCGACGCGUACGGGUGUUGGGAGACAUAGCCCGGAGAUGGAUUCUGAGACACGAAUCCAGACCCUACGGGGUGCAGCAGGCGCGAAAACUUCACACUGCAGGAAACUGUGAUGAGGGAACUCCAAGUGCGCGCACUUAGUGUGCGCUUUUCUUGACUAUUAAUCGGUCAUGGAAUAAGGGCUGGGAAAGACCGGUGCCAGCCGCCGCGGUAAUACCGGCAGCUCAAGUGGUCGUCGCUUUUAUUGGGCCUAAAACGUCCGUAGCCUGUUUGGUAAAUCUGUGGGUAAAUCAACCAGCUUAACUGGUUGAAUUCUGCAGAGACUGCCAGACUAGGGACCGGGAGAGGUGUGGGGUACUCUAGGGGUAGGGGUAAAAUCCUGUCAUCCUUAGAGGACCACCAGUUGCGAAGGCGCCACACUGGAACGGAUCCGACGGUCAGGGACGAAGCCUAGGGGCACGAACCGGAUUAGAUACCCGGGUAGUCCUAGGUGUAAACGCUGUGAACUUGGUGUCG
rnacentral:rRNA from 1 species